rnacentral:rRNA from 1 species
CGGAUGGGUGAGUAACGCGUAGGAACCUGUCGCACAGUGGGGGAUAACGCUGGGAAACCGGCGCUAAUACCGCAUGUGGUCGGAAACGAAGAAAGCGAGAGAUCGCGCUGUGUGAGGGGCCUGCGUCCGAUUAGCUAGUUGGUGGGGUAAGGGCCUACCAAGGCGACGAUCGGUAGCUGGUCUGAGAGGAUGGUCAGCCACACUGGGACUGAGACACGGCCCAG